UGCGCAGGCGGUUGGGUGUGUCAGAUGUGAAAUCCCGAGGCUCAACCUCGGAACUGCGUCUGAAACUACUCGACUAGAGUACUGGAGAGGGAAACGGAAUUCACGGUGUAGCAGUGAAAUGCGUAGAUAUCGUGAGGAACACCAGAGGCGAAGGCGGUUUCCUGGACAGUUACUGACGCUCAGGCACGAAAGCAUGGGGAGCAAAAG
rnacentral:rRNA from 1 species